CAGGGAGACAACAAAAUGUUUAAUAUUAUUAUUUUGUCACCUUAGGUCGAUCGGUAUCUCACGUUCUUAAUUUAUUAAGAAUUUCAUUUCCUAAGUUUUUCUAGGUCACACCCAUAAUUUUUCCUGGGCCAUUAGCUCAGGUGGUUAGAGCGCACCCCUGAUAAGGGUGAGGUCCCUGGUUCAAGUCCAGGAUGGCCCAUACUCUAUGUUGGGGGUAUAGCUCAGUUGGUAGAGCGCCUGCUUUGCAAGCAGGAUGUCAGCGGUUCGAGUCCGCUUACCUCCACUGAUAACCACCUCUUCCAUAUCUGUAAAAGGAAAUGUUUUGAGUUGUGAUCAAAUUCUGAACGAAUCUAGCUUCCUAAUGUAAUCAUUAAGAUGCUGGACUCAUUGAAUUAAUUUCAUUGUUUUCAGAGAACCUUGACAACUGCAUAGAUUAUUUUAAAGACAAUAAGCAUCUUUAAUGAUGCAGAUUUAUUAUUUGUGCGAAAGCAUUAAUAACAAUUCUAUUAAGCUGAUGCUUCAAUAUAUUGAAGUUAUU
rnacentral:tRNA from 1 species